rnacentral:rRNA from 1 species
UACGUAGGGUGCGAGCGUUGUCCGGAAUUAUUGGGCGUAAAGGGUGCGUAGGCGGCGCGGUAAGUCGGGUGUGAAAUCUUGGAGCUUUAAACUCCGAAACUGCAUUCGAUACUGCCGUGCUUGAGGACUGGAGAGGAGACUGGAAUUUACGGUGUAGCGGUGAAAUGCGUAGAUAUCGUAAGGAAGACCAGUGGCGAAGGCGGGUCUCUGG